UUCCGUAUUUUUUUAGAAAUCUGCAGGUUCUAAGCAUUAUUAUUAGACAAGCUUAGMAACUAUUUUGUUCGCUACAUUAGAUACAUCGUUCUUACUUUUUCUUCAACUUAAYAUUUUUCAACAUGCAGGUUAUGUUUGCUAACAGCUGWUUGCUGUUGGAUACGAAUGUGUACAUGCCUUGCAGACAAUUUGUCGAUUAAAAACACAUCCCGACCGGUCACGUUCUACGAUUUUCUGCUGUAGCGGAUUGCUUUAAAGAAGACUGCUCAUAGUUAAAGAGGGGUGAAAACUCUUAAGAGAGGCUACGUCAUUGAGCCAGAGACAAAACUUGUCUCUGAUUGAGCUAGUGUUCGCUACCGAAGACUUUCCUGCUUGACUUAAAGAUGUGAGAGCCAGUAUGAAAAAGAAAAAUGACUGUGUAUUACUGUAAUUCUGUAUAUUUUUGACUGCGAAACAUUAAAACUAACAGCUAAAGUUUCAUGAGAGUUGUGAGUAACUGAUCUUGCUUACUAAGUUUUUCAUCUUUCCAGUCAUAAUAACAAACUACUUAUAUGUUUGAGUAAUGCAAACAAACAUUUACAUAUUGCACAAGUAGGAAAAUACAUAAAUACUAAGAUGGCA